UACGGAGGGGGCUAGCGUUGUUCGGAAUUACUGGGCGUAAAGCGCACGUAGGCGGCUUUGCAAGUUAGAGGUGAAAGCCCGGGGCUCAACUCCGGAAUUGCCUUUAAAACUGCAUCGCUAGAAUUGUGGAGAGGUAAGUGGAAUUCCGAGUGUAGAGGUGAAAUUCGUAGAUAUUCGGAAAGAACACCAGUGGCGAAGGCGGCUCUCUGGACCGAUACUGACGCUGAGGUGCGAAAGCGUGGGGAGCAAACAGG
rnacentral:rRNA from 1 species